rnacentral:tRNA from 1 species
GCCGGCGUAGCUCAGGGGUAGAGCGUUUCCUUGGUAAGGAAGAGGCCACGGGUUCAAAUCCCGUCGUUGGCUCUA